rnacentral:tRNA from 1 species
GGCUGGCUGGCUCAGUUGGUAGAGCACAUGACUCUUGAUCUUGGGGUUGUGGGUUCGAGCUCCAUGUUGGGUG